rnacentral:lncRNA from 1 species
CCUCUCUCUCCCUCUCUCUCCCUCUCUCUCCCCCUCUCUCCCUCUCUCCCUCUCUCUCUCUCUCUCUCUCUCUCUCUCUCUCUCUCUCUCUCUCUCUCUCUCUCUCUCUCUCUCUCUCUCUCUCGCUCCUUCGACGCUCCGCAGACGGACGCGUCCCCGCAGCGCUCGUGCAGCGGUCCGCGCGCCUCGCUCUACUCCCACGAGCCGCAUUCCAACAUGACUUAAGAAGCGCAGCCCGGGUCUCUUCCGGCCAGCAGACGGCCGCAGCAUCCCGGCGGCACCACAUUGGCAACUUUUUGUUUCUUCCCCCGUCCCCCUGCUCCUCAGCGGGCUCUGUUUGUCAUCCAUUCCCGGGGGUAACAGCAGUUCCGUGGAUGAAAAAAAAAUAAAGAACAAAAAAGGAGGCUGCUUGUUUUUGUUUACUUCGGGGAUCCGCAUGGAUGUGGCAGCGGUAGAGGGGGCGUCUCAGCCGGGUAUCCGACUCCGGAAUCGGCCGACGCAAGUGAUGCCGAACCAGAGGAAGGUCCAAGCGAGGCGGAAGAGACGAAAGGAGUUGGUUUUAAUCCAGAUAUGUCUGUUCGGCGGCUUGCUUCUGGUCGUGAAGGGGUUUUCCUACUUGGCGGAACAUUCAGGUUUCCGUGUCUCCAGCCACAGCGGUGAGGACCAGGAGAGAUGGGGAGGGAGGAGGCUACUGCAGGAAACGGACAACAGCAGCCUAGAGGACAUGGAGAAGGAAGACUCUAAGAACUGUACUGCUCCAGACACGCAUCUCCUCUCCUCUUCCACGAUAAGCAUGAAGCUCAAUGCAGCUCAGAUGAACCCCGAGCGGCUGAGCUCCAUGCAUGGAUCCAUCCGACAGACGGUGCGUCGCCUGCUCCGUGGUCCGGCUGUGCAGCCAGUGUUACCAUGGCGAUGUGAGUCAUCGACCCUGUACCGAAGGCCAGGGUUUGUGCCCAAACCAAUCGGGGGUUUGGUCAUUGGCAUUUCUGGUGUUCUGACAUCUCAAAGGACUGUGCACUACAUUCACACUCACACAAACUCAUAUUCACACACGUCAGAGACACAGUCUUCAGCCUCCAGAAGCUGCAGGGCAGCGAUCCAGCCUGAAACGCAGGUUACUCAUCCUCUACGAUGUCUGACCAGCCUUCAGAUCAGCCUGAUCUAUUUGGAAGCAGACCCGAACUCUUCAUUGUCCACACCCAUCAAAGUUUACUGAGACUGACUUUCCGGUUCAAGACUUCGUGUUACUUCUUGUAGCUGUGGGAUCACAAGGUGUCAUGAUGAACUAGUUUUGUUUGGGGUUUUAUCUCCAAACAGAGAGGUUCAGAUACGUUAGCUUAAACUCCUGACUUGUUUGAAACCUGUCUGAUCAUCUCACU